CUCCUGGCCUGCAGCUUCUGUGUGCUCCUGAGAGGUGGGAAGAGUGGGGGCACUGGAAAGUUAUCUUCUCUCUCAUUAUUUCUCUGAGCCACUUUGUUUUUUUUUUUUUUUUUACCUNNNNNNNNNNUUUUUUUUUUUUGUACCUGCCAUCUAGAUAACAAAAUUCUUCAGCUGUGCCUAACUUUGCAGUUUAACAUGUUAAUUGAGGUUUUAAUAUCAGUGACUAUAUUUUAAUUUUUUUAGAAGUUCCUUGUGCCCCCUUAUGAAGAAAUUUCAGCUACAUAAAAGUAGAGAAAACAGUAUAUCAGUAAUUUUAGACUUGGAAAAAAAGUUGCAAAAAUUGUACAUAGCUCUGGUGUAACUUUCACCCAGCUUCCCUAAAUAUUGACAUUUUGUAUAACCAUAGAACAGUUAUCUAACCAGGAAUUAAUGUUGAUAGAAUACUGUUAACUAAUCUGUAGACCAUAUUUGAAUUUCUCCGUUUUCCACAUUAGUCCUUUCUCUGGUCCAGUAUACCAUUUUGCAUUUAGUUAUCUCCUCGGCCUUUUCUAAUCUGAGAUGUUUUGGUAGUCUUUCUUUGUUGUUCAUAACCUGGACAUUUUUGAAGAUUAUUGGCCAGUCAUUUGUAGAACGUUCCUCAGUUUGGCUCUAUUUGCUGUUUCUCAUGAUUUGAUUAAAGUUAUACAUUUUUGGCAAGAAUACCACAGAAGUGGUAUUAUGCCCUUCUCAGGGCAUCCUGUCAGCAGGCACAUUAUGUGGAUACUGGGUGAUGUUACAGUUGAUCACUUGGUUAUGGUUUUGUCUGCUAGUUUUUUUUUCACUGUAGUUACUAUUUUUUUCCUUGCAAUAUAUAUUUGAGGCUGUGCAAUUAUCCUGUUUCUCAUCAUACUUUUAUCCACAAAUUUUAGCAUUCCUUGAUGGUUUUUGCCUGUGUUAAUUAUUACUGUGAUGUUUGCUGUUUGCCAGAUAGCGAUUUUUCUAGUUCCAUUAUUCCUUCUGUGUGCAUUAUUAGCUUUCUACCUUAACGUAGAGCUGUCCUGUCUCUCUCAUUUAUUUAUUCAGUUAUUUAU
rnacentral:lncRNA from 1 species